rnacentral:lncRNA from 1 species
UUUUUAGGCUGUGGGGUUCUUGCAGGGAGUUGGCGGUGUUGGGCAGCUGCUCUUCAGGGGUGCAUCACUCCCUGGGGGCUGGAGCAGCUAUCUGGGUCACUGAGAACCUAAGAGGCUCUUCCCUAGGGUAGCCCAACUCAGAAGGACAGCCUGAGAAUGUAGGCGGAUCUUUUCACAGUCUGGCCGAGCUUGUUGUAGCUUUUCUGGGCUGCAGGGGCUCUUCCAGGGGGCUGGUGGUCCUGAGCAGUUAUUUCAUGGGAGUGGGGCACCCCCUGGGGGCUUGGGCAGGUAGCAGGGCCAUUGGAGACCCAAGAGGCUCCUCCCCAGGGCAGCCCAACUCAGAAAUACCGUCUGAGAUCUUUUCCCGACUCAGCCAGGCUUGUUGCAGCUUUUCUGGGCUGCAGGGGGUCCUGCCUGGAGCUGGCAGUCCUAUGCAGCUGGUCCACUAGAGCAUCCCCUGGGGGCUUGGGCGGGUAGCAGGGCCGUUGGAAACCCAAGAGGUUCCUCCCCGGGGCAACCCGACUCAGAAAAACCGUCCGAGAAUUAGGCCGAUCUAUUUACAGCCUGGCUAAUCUUGUUCUAGCUUUUCUGGGCUGCAGGCCUUUUCUCGGGGGCUGGUGGUGUUUGGUGCUGCUAUGCGGAAGUGUAGCCCCUCCAAAGGGCAAGCAGGCCUGUGCAGGGACAGCCCCUGCGGUGGUAGGCUUCAGGCAAUUGUUGAGGCCAGCCCUCCUGGAUGGCAGGCAGCCCCAGGUCCGGUGAGAGCGUAGGGCGUGGCGGGGGUGGGGGGAGGGGAUGCACGGGGAAGCACAGCUUUCUGCUAGCUAGUGGGCCUGUAAGCUUGCUGUGGCAUGGGGGGUAUUCUACCCCCCUUCUAUUCCACCCCUUCUUCUCUCCCCUCCCCAGCACUGGCGCAGACCAGGCUCUUCUCCCAGGUUCCCUCUGAUGCGGCUUUCCACUUCCCCGCCCCUGGAGUAUUGCUCCCUUCCUCUGCGACAGCUUUGUUUUCUAGUCUCCCAGGCAGUCUCUGCCCCGUCAAAUGGUUUCUAGACCUCCCAAGCAGUUUCCGCUCUGCCCGGCCCCCCUAGCCUGGGGACUAACCUCUGGAGCCGAGGUCUCAGUGCCCAGCACCCCCCCCAGGCGUCCCCUGGCUCCCUCUUGGGGACUAACCUUUGGCAGCAAGGUCUCGGUGCCCAGCCCCCCUCCAGGCGUCCCCCGGCCCUUUCUCAGGGAUUACCAGUUAGCAGUUCUUAUCAUUUCUGUUUUUAUGGUAGAACAGACCCUUAAAAACAUACAAAUAAAUUUGUAUUUUUCUAAAUCAGUUUUUAUAGAAAACUAAAAAAAUACUGCGGAAUAGCAGGUUAGUAUAUUAAGUAAAAUUAUAGACAUAGGGAGAUUGAAUUUAAGGACUAUUUUUUUCAGACUUUUUCUUUCCCUCCUUUGUUCCUCAUAUCUUGACAUAUACACUGGGUCUUCAGUCAAUGAAGCUUAGAGGGAUUUCUUAGAUGAAAAUAGAUCUAUACAUUAACUUUAACUUUAUGCCUAGUACUCACUGAUCUCCAAAACAAAUAUUAACUCCUCUGGAGAUGACAAGCAUAUUAAAAGAGAGACCUUCUUAAGUUAUAUUAUAUACUUAUUCAAGUAUUAUUAUUAAUUUUUUUUUGCCUUUUCUUGGGCUGCUCCUGCGGCAUAUGGAGGUUCCCAGGCUAGGGGUCUAAUUGGAGCUGCAGCCACUGGCCUAGCCAGAGCCACAGCAAUGCCAGAUCCGAGCCACAUCUGCAACCUACACCACAGCUCGUGGCAAUGCCAGCUCCUUAACCCACUGACCAAGGCCAGAGACCGAACCUGCAACCUCAUAGUUUCUAGUCAGAUUUGUUAACUACUGAGCCAUGACGGGAACUCCAUACAAUUUUUAAUAAGACUAUGUGAAAAAUUAGGAACACAUCAUGUUACAGAAUGAUAGGCAUAUUCAGACCAGUUUUCUUGGGAGAAUCUCUCAUUUUAAGGUUGUGGUUGUUCAGAUUGUAGUUACUGCUCCUGACAUUUACAUGCAAAGUUUAAAUUUGACCCAAACAUCAUUUAUACAGAACAGCAUAUAUUUUGUGCAAAUGUUUCUGUAAUUUUCUGCCAUCAAACAAUGUAAAAUCAACUAUUUUGGCCUUUUGCCUCCAUGGGAUACAAAUAUUUUGUGCAAAUGUUCAUAUACACACAAACGCACACAUACAGAUUGAGAUUAUAAGAAUGUAUUUUUGUAUCUUGUUUCAGCCAAUACUGUACUGUUUUUUAAAAAUAAACACUGGAUCUGUAAUUAAUGACUUUUCUGAACAUUUGCAACUUUUUGCUUGACUUUUCGUGGGUCUGACCUCUGAAGAAAAUGAUAUUGAAUAGACCUGGAUAAAGAUGGAUUUAAAGGUUAUAUUUAUUUAGUCAAAUUUUUAUAUGUGAUCAGAUAUUCUGUAUGCAUUUCAAAUUAUUGCAGGUGGUCUGAUAUUUAAAUGAUGAAUGUCAUUUAUUCAUUACAUUAGAUUAUUUGUUGAGUACCUAUUCUGGCAAUAGAACUGAUCCUACAGAUACCAAAGUGGACACAAUAUAUAAUCUUAGGUUCAUGGAGCUCUUAGUGGGCUUGUACUGAAUAAUCAUAAUCUAGUUUGAUAACUGUUGUCAUGAGGAGAACACAGGAUGCAAUAAGGAUAUACAGGAGUUUAUUGCCAUGUAGAACAGGCAUCUGGAAAUCUGACUAAAAUGUUCAUUUUCACUUUGGAUGUUUGAUGCUAUGUAGACAUUUCUAAUUUCAGUAUAUUCAUCACAGCUGUGCUUUCUUUUCUGAAGUCUUUAGAGAUUUCUCAAAAAUGUUGAAUUUUGUGUAAUACUAAUGAUAAUCCUUAUUUUUUGUUCAGCAUUAUAAUAUUUUUCUAAAAGAUUGUCUGUACUCAAGUGGAGAGCUCUAACAAGGUUCACUAACAUCAAUUGGGAUGUGCAUAUAAAGUCAGAAGAAAAGAAUUAAGUUUAUUUCUUGCUAACAAGAAAUUGCAUUCUGACAGGUUCAAUAAGAACUGAGGCCCUUUAAAGAGAAAGUAAAAGUGCCAGGUGUCUAAACAGUUUGAGUAAACAGGAAUUUCAGGUAUGCUAAUUUGUAAUUGAAAUACACUAUUUGCUCAUUGGUUGUGCCAGCCUGUGCAUUUCACUUACUUCUAAUAUAGGUGUUAGAAGAAUGUUACUGCAGUCGUUUCAACAAUUUUUUUUAAAAUUUCUAUGCUCAUCGUAAUUUUAGAGCAUUUUAUAACAACCACCAGAGAUUGCAAAAUGGUGAAUAAUAGAAUUAUAUAGUAAGGCCUAACAUUUACAGAGUAUUUAACUUGUGUUAAAUACUACUUUAAGUGCUCUAAAGGACCAACUCACUGAAUUCUCAUGAUGGUGCUGCAAAGGAGAAAAAUGUAGAUUGCACCCCCAUUUUACAGACAAGGAAACUGAGGCACAGCAUGAUUAUACUCUUUUCAACGUCACAGAACUAGUGAUCUACUGAUGUAAAUCAAACCAAGGGAAUCUUCCUUCAGAACAUGCACUUUCUAACCAUACUGCCUCUAAUUUGCCUCCUAAGAGCUAUAGCUGCCAGCCUAUGCCACAGCAACAUGGGAUCCAAGCUGCAGCUACAGCAACAUGGAAUCCGAGCCACAUUUGUGACCUACAUCACAGCUCAGGGCAAUGCUGGAUCCUUAACCCACUGAGUGAGGCCAGGGAUCGAACUCACAUCCUCAUGGAUCCUUCUCUGGUUUGUUACUGCUGAGCCAUAAUGGGAACUCCUCUUUUUCCAUUUUCUCAAACUGUUAUUUUAGGUUAUAAUAUGAUCUUAUUUUUGCUACAUUUGAUAUUAUAUUAACAUAAUUUAUAAACAUGCAAGCUUUGUACCAAUAUCAAUAAAUGGAGAAACAAAAUUCAAUCUAGAGAUAAAAGUAUUAAAAGAAUAGAAGAAUACAGAUAUCUGAAUUUAAUCUACCAAAUAUUUAUACAGUAUGCCAUUUUUCCUUACCUUUGUACAUUUUUAAAAUUUCAGUAAUGGUUUUAAUGUUGAAGGCAUUAAUCAUGGUAAGCAAUACACUACUUUUCUAAGGUAGUGGGUGCCUAUGUGCAAAGAUCUUACAUAGUUUAGAAUUCUCUCUACCUAGACUGAUAUGUGUAUCUCUUUAUUAAUAGCAAUCUGUUUCUAAACAAAUUAUUAUAACUCACUUAUAAUCAUUAUAAUUCAAUUUAAGUCUUUUUCAUUGAAUUUCUUAUUUUCCCAUUUUUGGUUGCUCUAUAACUCUUAUCUGUGGUUAUUUGCAACAUGUAAAGCUGUACUCUGCAUUCCAUAUAGUUUACACAUUAAUCCUAUUUUUUUGUUUCAUAAUCUUCAAUAUGGAAGACUUUGGAUAAUUUGUCUUCCUUUUGAUAAAUAUAUUCAUACUAGAAUUUUACAAAUGUAAGUCUAUUUUAUCAUAAUCAGUUUAUAGGAUUUAAUUGCCAUAGUUCUAGUUCUUAAAUUUACCAUUGAUUGUAAAGCAUAUUGAUGAGUUAAUAAAUGUUACUGCACCCAAAACUAGACAUUGUAAAAUCCAUUGUUCAUGUCUAGUAGAUUUGCAGUUUGCUGCACACAAUCCUGAAUGUUCGCUAGGCCCUCCAUCUGUAAUUAAGACAGUUAAGUUCCAGGGAUUUGCUGACCAAGAGCAGUGCUAUCUUGGGUACCCAAUGAAGUAGCUAUGUACAAAAUUUAUAUUCUGAUUUCUGGCCUAUAAAAUGAAUUCUUAAAUAGACUUAGUAUCAAGCACACUAUGAGAAAUGGAUAAGGAUAAAAAAACAUUUGUAGCAAGAUAUGAAGAGAAAUUCCUCGUACUUUCAUAUUGUUAUAUUAAAAUGUCUACCUUUUUCGUAUUUCUGUGUUUUAAGCUUAACACUAGCUCAUUUAAUCACCCUUGCUAGUGAAUGUGUAUUUUAGUCCCUAUUCCAAAUGCUUUUGUGCUUGUGACCAUAAGCACAUAAAAAUAAUGAAUCAAAGUUUCAGUUCUGUUCUUUAACUUUUGUUAGAACUCUCUUCUUUUGCACUGAACCAUGUUCAGUUCACAGAAGUGACUAAAAAUACAAGCAGAAAUCCCUUCACUUGGCUUUCCUAUAGGUCUCCAUUCAUCUUCUAAAAAUUAAAAAAUUGCCUCCUCCUUUGCAUUCUUUUUCCAUUGAAAAGAUCCUUUCUAUGUAUAAUAAAUAUACGUAUUAUAUAUAAUUAUACAUUAUAUAAUUUUGUCUAUAUUUAUGCUGCAUGUAAUUAUGCUUAUUACCCCAUCAAUAUCUAACUCCUAUCUGUUUAUGGCUCACGUCAGUGGGGCUAGUAAUACCCCUGGUACCCAAACUAGCAGAAGCAUAUUUUCUGCUCAAAAUCUAAAAUCUACCUCGUUACUCUUUAUUUUUAUAUUUUGUGUAUGUUUAAGUAUGACUACAACAGUAUAAUUGCCAAUACUUCCUAGGUACUGUGACUGAAGGACACAAAUGAAAUAAUGAAAGAUAUUCAUGAUGGCAAACUGAUGUGAAUCCAAUAUUGUUGCUGUUUAUGAUUUGUUUGAUAUGAAAUAGUCAAUGCCUGAAAAAAAUGUGUUAUAAAAAAAAAAAAACUAAGGCUCUUACUAGUUGUUUAGUAGAAAAAGGGAGAAAAAAAAAAGAUUGUUAAAAGGAAACAGAGAGUUCUCUUUUGGCCAGUGGGUUAAGAAUACCACAUUAUCACUGCACCAGCUUGGGUUGCUCCUGUGGCACAAAUUCAGUUCCUAGCCCAGGAACUUCCAUAUGUCAUGGAUACAG